AGCGAACGCUGGCGGCGUGCUUAACACAUGCAAGUCGAGUGCGCAGUCUGCUGUAGCAAUACAGCAGGCCGGCGCACGGCGCACGGGUGCGUAACACGUGGGCAACCUGCCCUCCAAUGGGGGAUAACCCGCCGAAAGGCGGGCUAAUACCGCAUGACAUUCCGGUGACUUCGGUCGCCGGAAUCAAAGCUCGUAAGGGCGUUGGGGGAGGGGCCCGCGGCCGAUUAGCUUGUUGGCGAGGUAACGGCUCACCAAGGCUUUGAUCGGUAG
rnacentral:rRNA from 1 species